UCGUGAGGUGCAUAGAAAACUUAAGCAAUCAGCCCACAGUAAACAUGAGUGCUAUGAAAAAUAAAAUAUGAAGUUAAAUGCAGCUAAAACCAGCCCAUAACAUUUAUCAACAAGAAACUAACAUUUUACCAUACGUGUACGCUUAAGAGAACAAAUGGAACUUAGUGUACUCAAAUAAAGUACCUCGGCGUCGAGCUAGAAAAGAAGCUUGACUGGGGACCGCAUAUCAGUGCAAUAUGCCAAGAAACCCAUGGGUAAAUGUUUUUUUCUAAGAAAAGAAAUAGAUGAGCACUAUGCCUACCUUUAAAACACGUGAAUAAACGGUGGUGUGAUAAAAUUAGCUGACUUUUUUUUUUUUGCAGCCUAUAUUAUCUCUCGUGAAAUGGCUCCAUAGAAUGACACGGGGCAGGGCCGUUGUACUAUGAUCUCCAGAAAAGGAAAAAAAUAAAUAUGAGGCGACAGUUAACACUCAAUCACCCAAUCCUGGGUACAUUUUUUUUUUUGCUAUGCACUUGAUUCUGCUCGAACGCUUCAAAAGCAUGUUGUCCUUGAUCUUAUUAUAUGUUUUGUCGUACAACUUUAAUGCUUGUAUUUGCUACCUGUGGUAAAGUGUUCUGUAUAUACAGCAUUUUUGGCGUACUUAACUUUUUAUGCUGGAAAGUGCUUUUUGGUAAGUUGGUGACAUUGGCAAUUGAAUUUUACAGGAAUAACAGUCCUAUAUUUGGUCAGCGUUGGCGUGGAAUCCAAGCAAAAAGGACGUCCACCCAAUAAAUGCGGAACUCCAAGAUUUGGUAAUUUUACCUGUAAACGCCCAGAGGAACGGCGUUAUUAUUACAACUCAACAGAGCGAAAAUGCAAACAAAUAUCCUAUACGCCUUGCAAGCACGCAAAUGUUUAUAAGAGGCUUACGGACUGCCUAAAGACCUGCGCACCGACAUCACAGUGCAUUCAACCGCCAAAAUGGUCAACGAGAAGCAGGGGGGAUUACUACUACACCUUUUAUCCUGAAGAACGAACUUGUUUACUACAACGAGGAACUUUUUAUUCCGAAGAUCCAAAGGUGAACGCUUUUGAGCACAGCUACCAAUGCGCAAACAGAUGCCAUCCGACUGAUGAUCCGUUUUAUUAAAACGAACCUCUUUUUUGAGUAGUUUCCUAGG